AAUCCAUACAUUGGACAUUUCCAAAUUAACUCCUUAAAUUGUUCCCAAGCUUCAUAUAACAUUUCAUCCUCUAAUUGCUAAAAAGACGUGAUGUCGUUUCUUAGCUU
rfam:Gossypium hirsutum cultivar TM-1 chromosome 20, whole genome shotgun sequence